GGGGAAACAAAACCCUAAAACUUUUUAAAACCCUUUUCACGAUUUGACUCAUGUUUGCUCGGCGGGUUUUCCUCGCCAGAGGAUCCACAAAACUCCUGUUUUAACGGGGUUGUCUGAAGCUACAAAGCACGAAUCAAACUUUCAACAACGGAUCUCUUGGUUCUGGCAUCGAUGAAGAACGCAGCGAAAUGCGAUAAGUAGUGUGAAUUGCAGAAUUCAGUGAAUCAUCGAAUCUUUGAACGCACAUUGCGCCCCUUGGUAUCCCGAGGGGCAUGCCUGUUCGAGCGUCAUUUCACCACUCAAGCCUGGCUUGGUGUUGGGCGACGUCCCCUUCAGGGACGCGCCUCGAAACGCUCGGCGGCGUGGCACCGGCUUUAAGCGUAGCAGAAUCUUUCGCUUCAAAAGUUGGGGCCCCGUCUGCCGGAAGACCUACUCGCCCGAUCCACUACGGGAGGUCUGCUAUACAUAGGUACG
rnacentral:misc_RNA from 1 species